UACAGUUUGGAGAAUGGACUGGGUGGCACCCAAGUGGGGCCCAAGUGGAUGUGGAAGGUCAAGCAGAGGCCAGGGUAGUAGCCCUGUGAGAAAGCAUGGUGGCUUUGUCAUUGGAAUUUGCGGCCAGAUUCGUGAUUGGUUGGAUGGAAGUGGUGAGAGAGAGGGAGGGAGGAGUAAAGGAUGACUCCCCGGCAACUUCCUGACCGCAGGCAUCACUCCCCGGGUCACAAACACUGCAGCAGGACCAGGCUCGGGAGUGGUAAUCACGCUAGGUAAUUUUGGCCAGGUUGCACCUGGGGUAGCUCUGCGACAUCCAAGUGGAGAUGUCAUGUAGGCAGGAGGAUAAUGAGUCCAGAGCUCAGAGCAGACGUCUAGUCUGGGGAAGUAAAUUUGAAAGUCAUGAGAACAUACCUGGUAACUGAAGUGAUGUGCACCGAUGAGGUUGCUUAGGGAGAGAAUGUAAAGUGAGACAUGAAAAGGGCUGACGGCUGAGUCUUGAGAAACUGCAGCCUUUGAAGUUGGGAGGAGGGGCAGUCCCUCGCAGGAGGUUCAUGUGUGCUUGUGAAACGCAAGCACAUUAUCUCAGAGGCAAAACAGCUACAGGAAAGGAGGAAGAGUCCAAUGUGACAGAGAAAAGAUAAUCAUUGUUGGCAGUGUCAUCUUGACUCUCAAUGAUAGCGUCUGUGACAGGUGGGAGUGAGGCUGCAGAAUGAAACAGAGGGGGAAUCACCGGAAAGCAUCCUCCAUCUGCCUGGGAAGACCUGCAUCAGGCCUGAAAGUGAUAUCGUGGGAACCAACAGAGGACUUGGAAAUCGGAAGAGAUGAGAAUACGGAGACCCCUCUCCAGUGAAUUUCUGCACCGGUCGCUUUGCUCAGCUUUCCCUCCUGUUCCUGAAACGUCUUCCUCAUUCCUCUCAGCCUCUCUAAAUUCUCCAAAUGCUUCAAGUUUCACUAAUUCCCUUAUAAGGCUUAUAGAAUUUCCCACAUGGACCCUCAGUAGGUUAAAAUUUCCAAGAGCACAAAGAACACUUUUGAUUGUGUUCUUCCUCAUUUCCCCACUGUCUAGCACUGUACUUAGCGUUUGUCAGACGCUUAAAAUAUACGUGCUGAAUGAGUUGAUGGCUUUGAAUGACUGGGGGAAUUUUGGGUCCUUCACUCAUCUCAAGUAAACUGUGAAUCAUCAG
rnacentral:lncRNA from 1 species